CAGGUGUGCAAAGAGUGGGUAGGUGAUCAGAAGAAGAGGGGGUGCACUAGGGGAAAACGCGGGGGAGGUACUAAAGAGUGGGUGGCCUGGUGGCGACGUACUACCACGUCGGCGUCGGUGGCGUGUGGUGCAUGGAGAGGGUUGGUAGUACGUCGUUGGAGGUGCCGGCCUUAUGAUCUGUAGCCUCGGAGGAGAGAGGGUGCGUAUAGGAUCCGCCAGUUGCGCUCGAGCGGUGCGUGGGAGCAGGAGCUGCCAGCGUCCGCAACGUUGCAUCGUUGAGUAGGGGUCUUCGGCACGACGCUACGUUGGAACCGCAGCCGGUGACCUCAACGUUCAGCACCCGCCGCCUCGAAGUUACCUCGCGAGCGGCCGCGAGAGUUGCGUUGCGAGUAGUCGCCGACGUCACUUCAAGUCCGCCUCAACGUUUCGUCGAAGCUGCCUCGGUAGCGGGCAGCCUCGAGACGGUCCCGACGUUAAUUCUAGCUGGCCUCUACGUUUCGUCGAAGCAGCCUCGGCAGCCUCGAGACGGCCUCGACGUUACUUCGAGCCGGCCUCAACGUUACCUCGAAGCGGCCUCGCAGCCUCGAGACGGCCCCGACGUUACUUCGAGCUGGCCUCAACGUUACCUCGAAGCGGCCUCACAGCCACGACGCAACCUCGAGGCGGCUUCAACGUUAUCUCGAAGCAGCCUCGCAGCUACGGCGCAACCUCGAGGCGGCCCCGACGUUACCUCGGCCGGCCUUAACGUCACCUCGAGCAGCCUGCCGCAGCCACUACCAACCUCGUGGCGUGUCACGACGUUACGGUGUAGCAACUUCAACAGCACUACAUGACGACGGCACCGCAACAACACCAGUUUGCCGGAUCGUGCGACUAGCCUGCCGACUUGUCCGCCUACGACUAAACAUCAUUGCGGGAUUUUUUUACGAGAUGCUCGCUCCGUACUCUUAUCCUUCUAAACCGGAGGUCGUCAUGGGCUAAGCCGUCUCGGUUUGUGUUGGAUGUUCGGCUUUGGCGGUGUGGAGUGGGUAUAGUUUGAGGUUGCUAGAGGAGCAUCGUAGAGUUUGUUUUUUGUUAGAGGAGGAGCCUGGACGAUACCGCAGGCAGCGUAAUUUCGAGAGUGCCAAGCGACCCUGCCGGCGGUUAAGGCCGGCGAAGAGAGAAGCGAAUGCGUCGGCGCUAGAGUGACCUCUAUAGUGGUAAUGGCGGGCCAGCGCUGGCAGUGAAUCUAGGUGUUUGAGGCGGCGGCGGAGUUGGUCGGGGAGCCUGAAGAAGGAGGCCGCGUGGUAGCGAUGCGAGGGGAGGCCACUCCUUAGGGGAAACUGACAGCCGCGGCGUCGUCUACUGGAGCUCCUACUCAAGGCGGGACCAUUAGUUAGUUAGAGCCAUAAGAAAUGUGUAGAACCCACCGUCGUGUUUAAUGUCAAAAGCAAAGACACUACUGCGUUCUGGGCCUGUGGCAAGGGAUGAAGCUGCUCUUCCUGGAGCAGAGCCUACUUUGGGACACCCGAGACAUGCUCGCCACCACGGCGAAGGUAUCUUACCGCGCGCUGGUGCUGCUCUACUGAGCCGCUAAACCAGCAAAGUUCAAGUUCCGCGCCGUACAGAUGCUUAAGUUGUUUAGGCCAUCCUCGAUGUGGUUCCCCGAGUGGGUCAAGAGGCUAAACCUCGGUCCCCUCAAGAAGCGGGGAGCAGCGACAGGGUCCUGAGUGUCUUGACCAUGAGCAAAGAAGUGGUUGCUGUCUCUACUCCAGUGCCGCUAGACAUGACUGCCCACAGAGCUUUGUAUGCUCCCGGGGCAAACCUAUUAGGCAUUACAAUUCGUUUGGAUUUCUUUGCCAACAUGUGCGAUCGUCAUUUAUGCUAACGAUAACAUUAGACGGACGGUAAACCUACGUUUCCUUUACAUACGAACGAUCUACCAUUAGUUACACAACUUGGGGCUCGACUUGUGUUUUACGCUUUAUUUAGACGAUUCUUGGCAUUGUUUAGACGGCCUCCGCGGAGGGAAACCGUUCCAUCGGUAGUCGAUACCGCUGUUGCUCCUUCUAUGGCGAAGGUUUGAGGUCCAGCGGGCAUAUCGGGAUCGACAACAGCCGGAAGGGGUGGCAAAUGGGUUGUAACCACCUCCAACGGCAACUGUUUCCGUUUCGGGAGCACCGGUAACUCCUACCACGACUACCCCGUAAGGGCAGUACGAAGCAAAACCCAGAACCACGAGGUCUAGAUCAGCACACUACUACGUUACCUAAGACCCCAGUAGCUGUCUCUACCCUACACACCAGUACGAAGACCAGCAAAGGGCCACACGAGCGCAGGAAAAGAUCAGUAGGGUGGUAUAGGGAAGGGUAGAGCCGGAAGAGACGGGCUAGGUUGCACCAAGGAAGUCUAAAUCACCAGGGCAGAGGACAGUCGAGUAGAUACAGGUAGUAAACCGGAAACAGCAACCAACACCGACCGAACAACCAGCAACCUCAGAUCUACAGAAAACGAACACUGCCACACCAGCACAUGCCCCCAAGACGGAGAAGAAGCAGGGGCUACCAAGACGGGGAACAACGAUCAACACCAACCGCAGCAGAAACGAUGAACACGCACGGAGGAUGAAGGGUACCAAGUACAAAAGGGCAGGGUACUUGGAGGAGGAUAACACACCCACCACCGACCAUACCGCUGCAAUCCGAACACCAGAACACCGAGUAACUGCAGCACGGAUGCGCAUACGUUCACCACAAGUGAGUUAUGAUCACCACCUUAGCAAGGAUACAACG
rnacentral:rRNA from 1 species